rnacentral:ncRNA from 1 species
GACGGUGCGGUCCCUAUCCGCUGCGCGCGUAGGAAAUUUGAGAAGAGCUGUCCUUAGUACGAGAGGACCGGGACGGACGAACCUCUGGUGUGUCAGUUGUACUGCCAAGUGCACCGCUGAUUUGCUACGUUCGGAAGGGAUAACCGCUGAAAGCAUCUAAGCGGGAAGCGCGCCUCAAGAUGAGAUCUCCCGGGGCACAAGCCCCCUGAAGGAACCAUGUAGACUACGUGGUUGAUAGGUCAGGUGUGUAAGUACA